ACUCUCCAGUUCUCCUUUCUAUCAGAUCUAAACUGAUAGGACUUGUCAUGGUAGUCAAAAUGGGGGAAAUAGUACUACUGAAGCUGGUCUCAUGGUUUAUAGUCUGCCGUAGAGCACAUGGACUAAUUUCAAACAAGG